GACGAACGCUGGCGGCGUGCUUAACACAUGCAAGUCGAACGGAAAGGCCCUGCUUUUGUGGGGUGCUCGAGUGGCGAACGGGUGAGUAACACGUGAGUAACCUGCCCUUGACUUUGGGAUAACUUCAGGAAACUGGGGCUAAUAACGGAUAGGAGCUCUUGCUGCAUGGUGGGGGUUGGAAAGUUUCGGCGGUUGGGGAUGGACUCGCGGCUUAUCAGCUUGUUGGUGGGGUAGUGGCUUACCAAGGCUUUGACGGGUAGCCGGCCUGAGAGGGUGACCGGCCACAUUGGGACGGAGAUACGGCCCAGACUCCUACGGGAGGCAGCAGUGGGGAAUAUUGCACAAUGGGCGGAAGCCGGAUGCAGCAACGCCGCGUGCGGGAUAACGGCCUUCGGUUUGUAAACCGCUUUCGCCUGUGACGAAGCGUGAGUGACGGUAAUGGGUAAAGAAGCACCGGCUAACUACGUG
rnacentral:rRNA from 1 species